CAAGUCUGCUAACGUUACUAGCUAGCGGUCACUCUACUGUGUGACUAACUAAUACUGUAACUAGCUACAUUUUUUGAAACUAUUAUCUAACUGGGUCGGAGUUGAGAAACUAGUAGUACACCCAAUAAUUUCAAAGAAGCUAACGGUAGCUAGCUAAGGUAUAGAGAUAAGUAUUCAGUAAUAGUAAGUUAGCUACCGUACCAUACUCAGAAGAUAGCUAACGUUAGUUAGCUCGUGUUAAGAUAGCCAGAAACAAGACGAMGAAGCGCUAGCUAACAUAGAUAGCUAACAAACAGCCUGGGUUUGAAUUAAAUGCUCCCCAGAAUAGCUGGUAUAUAGGCUAAUGAUAAAUUGCAAGCCAUUUAGUUACCUUUACCUAGGUGCGCUAAUAGCUAAUUCCUUGAUUAAAGUAAGUUAACUAGCUAAUUUCACUAACUAACUGAGCCAGGAAGGAAGAAAUUCACAGGUUAAUUAGGAAACAUGGACAAUACAUCAUCAAGUGGACCCAGUAAGGGUGGUUUCAGCAUUAUUUGGUGGAGCAUCGCCUGAAUAUUCAAACACUGAAUUCGGCGUAAAUUACUUCUCAAUGUGAUAUGGAAAGACUGCAAUUCAAUUCGACCUAUUUGAUGUGGCAAUGAGCGUCAGCUGACUAUUGUCUAUGUGUUUUUCUCUCCUCACGCAUUGACUGGGAUGAGCCCCGGCUCACCGUAUUUUAAGAUAUUUUACACAUGUGAGUUCCAGUUAGUAUAAUGAAUGACUUUGGWUCACAAACUGGAUCUACAAUACAACAAAUCGGAUGUGUUUAGUUUUACUGGGGGAGGUCGGAUAAUGUAAUUAUGUGCAUGAGCACAACUGUAAUUUUAGUCCCUUUCGAAUCUGCCAUGUCAGUGAUUUGGAAUUUACAUGGCAGGAGAGUAACAAUUCCAGCCAGAAUAACCUAUUGUUUUGGCAAACUCCAAGGUCCUCUGAUAAUGCUAGUCCCGUGUUUUGAGAGAAAUGUCUGAGUUUGACAGGUGUUGCCCGUGGUUUGAGAAAUAAAACAACUGAUCAGAUCAAUUUAACGAAGUACUGCGCAUGGCCUAUAUACUGUAUGAAGGCCUUCAUGUAUCAACUUUCACAGUGAAUGCUUUUGUUUAUACGUUUUGUGCGAAUGCAUUCCCAUCGCCAAAUGCAUCAUUAAAAAAAAUGCGCAAAUGUAAUGCAACCUUUGCUGUUAAUAGAUCGCAAAGCCGCAUACAACUGAGCUAAACGUUUGGAAAUGAAAAGUUAACUUUCUCAUCCAUAGCCUAAAAACGCAUAUCAAGUGCGCUGUUUGYUGCACAUCUGAAGGCUGGGGGGCAUUUAGGACGUCUUCUAKUAAGGAUCGCUAAACUAUCCUAAUGAUUAUGAUCACACUUCCUCAAUUCAAAUAUUAUGGCAACUAUAUAUGGUUUAGAAACUUUGGAACCAAGCUCAGUGUAGCCUGUUAUCGCCUGAACCUGUUGAAAUAUCUUCACGCCUAGAAAAAAKKCUCCAUAUUUCCGUCAUAAUGUCKAUUUUUAAAAUAUAUAUAAAUAAAAUAAUAAUUACAAGGGGCAGUUUGGAAUAAAAUAAUCCCGUCCGAAUCGUSCUCUGGYAUAACGCACAUUCUGUGGUAAUAAUGACAUACCCAACGUUCUCUAGUAAUACUAGUCCGGUGCUAAUAACUUAUAAUAUUACCACAGGACCCUGAUGACUUAAUUUUACCGACUGAUGCCAACAAKGUCAGAGGCCGAUUUGAACUGGCUUUCUUCACCAUCGGAGGCUGUUCUAUUACUGGCUCCUAAAUCUGGUGACCCACCAAGGAGCGACAUGGGCGAACACACUUGGUUCACUGGCUUGGUUGUACAGUGUGUUUGGGGGUGGCCAUCGAGAAGGCACGGGGAGCAGAGGAUGACAUCAACACMGUUGCUGCUGGGACAAUGAAAGGCAUGCUGUAAAAGUCCACAGGCUGGGGGUGUACGUGGACCAGCGCGAGGGGGCCUGGCUCUGUCAUCUCUCUAUAUAACAACUGGGACCACCUGAAGGGAAACCCUCCCACCCGCUACUGAUGGAACAUUGACCAGUCAAAACAUUUCCCCAAAUAGAUCUUGAUUCCUUUGUAGACAUAUCCUCCCUUUCCGUAAUAACUUAUCUUGUACCUGAGUGGGUACCCGAGUUAGGCCCCUAAGUUUGCAUUAGUUUGACCUAAUUUAUGCUGUAAUGCACAUCAACGCUGCACAUUCUGAUGUGUAUCAAUUUGUUGCUGGUGUUAGGAUUCAUUGCUGUGAAUAUCUGAUCAACUGUCUAUGCACAGCUUUUCCCUGAAUUGCACUGUCUGUAAAUGUCACGUUGAAUCAGUAUUAUUGACUGACUUGAAUGUUGUUGCAAAGAUUGAAUGCUGUCUUACUGAAGUGAAAGGUGGAGUUGCUUCCUAUGGAUGUCUACAUAAGUAUCUCAUUCCACAACUUUGCAUGUGGUAAUUUGCAAAUGUUUGCGUUAUUAUUCCAAGAGAAUGUUACUGUUAAUUUUAUUACAAAGACAAGUCAGUUUGUUAAACUAAGGGAACAUAUCAAUGUCCUGCUUUCUAUAAAAAUGUAUGAUUUCCUUUAUCAGUAAUGUCUUACCAAGCCAUCUUGUGAUUUCACCUGACUUGCAAAGAUGUAAAAAGAGGCUAUCAAGUCAGUUCUGCUCAUCACUGUAAACAAAUCUCAAGAAYUAAUGAUUAUUUUGCUGUUUCAAAGGUUGCAGUCAUUGAGUUCAAUCAUAUUUGACACUGAUCUGUAUGUUGAAUUAGAUUGGUCCUCACAUUU